rfam:Ornithorhynchus anatinus chromosome 12, whole genome shotgun sequence.
CCCCUCUCACGAUCACAUCUGGAGAGUUUCCAGUAAUCUACCAGCCUUGGAUAAGGGAGGGAGAGCCAAGCAGAAGCAUACCCAUUCUAUACCUAGCUUGGGGUAGUGACUAGUGAGUGGAAGGCAGUCUGCAACAAGU